rnacentral:rRNA from 1 species
GAUGAACGCUGGCGGCGUGCUUAACACAUGCAAGUCGAACGAUGAAGCCCAGCUUGCUGGGUGGAUUAGUGGCGAACGGGUGAGUAACACGUGAGUAACCUGCCCCUGACUCUGGGAUAAGCCCGGGAAACUGGGUCUAAUACUGGAUAUGACCUGUCACCGCAUGGUGGUGGGUGGAAAGAUUUUUUGGUUGGGGAUGGACUCGCGGCCUAUCAGCUUGUUGGUGAGGUAGUGGCUCACCAAGGCGACGACGGGUAGCCGGCCUGAGAGGGUGACCGGCCACACUGGGACUGAGACACGGCCCAGACUCCUACGGGAGGCAGCAGUGGGGAAUAUUGCACAAUGGGCGCAAGCCUGAUGCAGCGACGCCGCGUGAGGGAUGACGGCCUUCGGGUUGUAAACCUCUUUCAGUAGGGAAGAAGCCUUUUGGGUGACGGUACCUGCAGAAGAAGCGCCGGCUAACUACGUGCCAGCAGCCGCGGUAAUACGUAGGGCGCAAGCGUUAUCCGGAUUUAUUGGGCGUAAAGAGCUCGUAGGCGGUUUGUCGCGUCUGCCGUGAAAGUCCGGGGCUUAACUCCGGAUCUGCGGUGGGUACGGGCAGACUAGAGUGCAGUAGGGGAGACUGGAAUUCCUGGUGUAGCGGUGAAAUGCGCAGAUAUCAGGAGGAACACCGAUGGCGAAGGCAGGUCUCUGGGCUGUAACUGACGCUGAGGAGCGAAAGCAUGGGGAGCGAACAGGAUUAGAUACCCUGGUAGUCCAUGCCGUAAACGUUGGGCACUAGGUGUGGGGGACAUUCCACGUUUUCCGCGCCGUAGCUAACGCAUUAAGUGCCCCGCCUGGGGAGUACGGCCGCAAGGCUAAAACUCAAAGGAAUUGACGGGGGCCCGCACAAGCGGCGGAGCAUGCGGAUUAAUUCGAUGCAACGCGAAGAACCUUACCAAGGCUUGACAUGGACUGGAUCGCCGCAGAGAUGUGGUUUCCCUUCGGGGCUGGUUCACAGGUGGUGCAUGGUUGUCGUCAGCUCGUGUCGUGAGAUGUUGGGUUAAGUCCCGCAACGAGCGCAACCCUCGUUCCAUGUUGCCAGCGGGUUAUGCCGGGGACUCAUGGGAGACUGCCGGGGUCAACUCGGAGGAAGGUGAGGACGACGUCAAAUCAUCAUGCCCCUUAUGUCUUGGGCUUCACGCAUGCUACAAUGGCCGGUACAAAGGGUUGCGAUACUGUGAGGUGGAGCUAAUCCCAAAAAGCCGGUCUCAGUUCGGAUUGGGGUCUGCAACUCGACCCCAUGAAGUCGGAGUCGCUAGUAAUCGCAGAUCAGCAACGCUGCGGUGAAUACGUUCCCGGGCCUUGUACACACCGCC